rnacentral:rRNA from 1 species
UACGGGGGGGGCAAGCGUUGUUCGGAAUUACUGGGCGUAAAGGGCUCGUAGGUGGCCAACUAAGUCAGACGUGAAAUCCCUCAGCUUAACUGGGGAACUGCGUCUGAUACUGGAUGGCUUGAGUUUGGGAGAGGGACGCGGAAUUCCAGGUGUAGCGGUGAAAUGCGUAGAUAUCUGGAGGAACACCGGUGGCGAAGGCGGCAUCCUGGACCGGCAUUGACGCUGAGGAGCGAAAGCCAGGGGAGCAAACGGG